GGUGUAGUGGCGUAGUGGCUUGAGCAUUGAACUAGGACUCUGGAGACCAAGGUUCGAAUCCCAGCUCGGUCA
rnacentral:tRNA from 1 species